rnacentral:lncRNA from 1 species
GUAUGUUAUCGAUAAACAAGUCUAAAAUGUAAAAUGUGUUUUUAGAAUGUUACAUUGUGCCUUUUGUUUCGAAACGGGAUUGCAGAUACAGCUAUUGUUUAGAUGCACAUUACUAUCACUAGAAGCUACGUUCUUCAUAUUGAUUGCACCGUACAUAUUGUCUACAUAAUACUCUGUGUUGUUGUUAUUGUAAUUUGUUUAGCCACCCUCAUCUGUUCAUUUUGUUUUAUCACUUCCAUAUUUCAGAUGAUGCCGAUGCAUUGCAGUGUCAUUGUGGUAAAAGGUACAAGUCAAAGACUGGUCUUCUGCUGCAUCAAAGGAAGCAUUCUAAAAACUUCCCUUUCACUUGUCUUGUUUGUGGGAAAGGAUACUCAAACAAACGGGACUUCAACGAACAUUUACAUCGCCAUACUGGAACACCCGUGGCUACAUGUAAAAUAUGUGGAUUCAAAGCAAUGUCACAUAGUGGAUACAGAGGUCACAUGGAGAGGCACAAAGGAAGGGUAUCAAAGAAAGAUUUAAAGAUCGAUGAAAAAUAGAAUGAAAGAAUCUAUCAGAACAUGUCAUUUUAUCGAUCAUUUUGUAACAUAUUUAUUUUCUCGUUUCAUUUUUCUUAUUAACUGUUACCUUCUAUAUAUAUACUAUAUAUAUAUAUACAUGUAUGUCUGAACCACCAUACAAAUGUUAAGGAC